UAGGGAAUCUUCGGCAAUGGACGAAAGUCUGACCGAGCAACGCCGCGUGAGUGAAGAAGGUUUUCGGAUCGUAAAACUCUGUUGUUAGAGAAGAACAAGGACGUUAGUAACUGAACGUCCCCUGACGGUAUCUAACCAGAAAGCCACGGCUAACUACGUGCCAGCAGCCGCGGUAAUACGUAGGUGGCAAGCGUUGUCCGGAUUUAUUGGGCGUAAAGCGAGCGCAGGCGGUUUCUUAAGUCUGAUGUGAAAGCCCCCGGCUCAACCGGGGAGGGUCAUUGGAAACUGGGAGGCUUGAGUGCAGAAGAGGAGAGUGGAAUUCCAUGUGUAGCGGUGAAAUGCGUAGAUAUAUGGAGGAACACCAGUGGCGAAGGCGGCUCUCUGGUUUGUAACUGACGCUGAGGCUCGAAAGCGUGGGGAGCAAACAGG
rnacentral:rRNA from 1 species